rfam:Shewanella putrefaciens CN-32, complete genome.
GCUUAGGGACGACCCUAAAUACGCCUAAUCUAACAUGGGGACGACCCCU